rnacentral:rRNA from 1 species
CCUACGGGAGGCAGCAGUGAGGAAUAUUGGUCAAUGGACGAGAGUCUGAACCAGCCAAGUAGCGUGAAGGAUGACUGCCCUAUGGGUUGUAAACUUCUUUUAUAUGGGAAUAAAACAGGGUAUGCAUACCCUCUUGUAUGUACCAUAUGAAUAAGGAUCGGCUAACUCCGUGCCAGCAGCCGCGGUAAUACGGAGGAUCCGAGCGUUAUCCGGAUUUAUUGGGUUUAAAGGGAGCGUAGAUGGGUUGUUAAGUCAGUUGUGAAAGUUUGCGGCUCAACCGUAAAAUUGCAAUUGAUACUGGCAGUCUUGAGUACAGUUGAGGUAGGCGGAAUUCGUGGUGUAGCGGUGAAAUGCUUAGAUAUCACGAAGAACCCCGAUUGCGAAGGCAGCUUACUAAACUGUGACUGACAUUGAUGCUCGAAAGUGUGGGUAUCAAACAGGAUUAGAUACCCUAGUAGUC